UAGGCCUCGGCGAUCUCCUUGAACUUCUCCUCGGCGCCCGGCUCCUUGUUCUUGUCGGGGUGGUAUCGCAGCGCCUGGCGGCGGUAGGCCCGCUUGAUCUCCUCGUCCGACGCGCCGCGGGACAGGCCCAGCGUCUGGUCCUCCUUGGUAACAGGAAUAAACGCGCCCUCUUGGGGCAGUGGGAAGAAUGCGGAUGGGAGCCCCAGGCACUCACUGAAGCCUCCCAACAGGAGGGGAAACUGAGGUCCCGAGAGGGCAUGCCCCUUGCUGAAGGUCUCCUGGGAGAACGCGUUCUUGGCUUCCUGAACACCUAGGUUCCAACGGGCACAACAGGGGAACUUAACGUUGAGGAUUUAAAUACCAGCUAUCCAAAACAUGUACCCAAACUAAAAAACCUUGUUUCGGUGUUUAUUUUUCUCCCUUCCUUUCCUCGUCUCUAUGUCCUGCGGCUCCAACCACGGUCAUUUCCCUCCAUCUCAUCUUGGACGAGAAACAUUCCAAGGGGUACUUGACACACCUGACGGCCCCCUCCCCGACCCGCCCAGGGAGGCGAGCAAGGUGGGCCGCGUAGGCUUGCACCAGGGACAGCGAAACGGGGCGCGGCCUCCAGGUGCACGCCGGGGAGUCCCGUGGGGGGGGGCUUUUCCCACUCCAUUACCCCAUUUUCCCCCUCCCAUUCGUGAUAGUAGAGGGUCCCCUCGCCCGCGAGACCUCUCCAUCCAAGGUCCCCUCCCCAUAGCCCGGAUCCCUAACC